CUUAUGAAUCUUUGUUUGGUCUAUAUCAAAUUAAUCAAGUAAUAUCACCAUUGAAGACUUGGAAGUGCAUAGGAUAAUUUCUGAAUAUGGCAAGGCCUGACUCAAACUAUGCUAUUUUGAUAGAGUUCUGCUGUCAUGAGUAGCAUAAAGUGAAAUGUGUAUAUUUUAGGCAAGGAAUUAACCAUUUGAAAUGAGCUUUGUUUACUUAAGUGAAUGAUGUAUUAAUAUGAUGUGAACAUAGAAGUUUAAAAACUUGGAGGAUUGUUCUUUGUGCGUGCAAUAAGUUCCGACAAAGUUGAAGAACUUUAGUCUCAAAAUUCAAAGGCUUAGAGAAAAAGUCAGACCAAUAUUAGACGCAACAAAAUUGACGAGGAUGUACAUCCUUAUCACCCUUUAUAUCAUUGAUUUGGUUUCUCAACUUUCUUCUGGGAUUACUACUAAUUUAUGGCUGCUGACUGG
rnacentral:misc_RNA from 1 species